rnacentral:rRNA from 1 species
GAGUUUGAUCAUGGCUCAGAUUGAACGCUGGCGGCAGGCCUAACACAUGCAAGUCGAGCGGUAGAGAGAAGCUUGCUUCUCUUGAGAGCGGCGGACGGGUGAGUAAUGCCUAGGAAUCUGCCUGGUAGUGGGGGAUAACGCUCGGAAACGGACGCUAAUACCGCAUACGUCCUACGGGAGAAAGCAGGGGACCUUCGGGCCUUGCGCUAUCAGAUGAGCCUAGGUCGGAUUAGCUAGUUGGUGAGGUAAUGGCUCACCAAAGGCGACGAUCCGUAACUGGUCUGAGAGGAUGAUCAGUCACACUGGAACUGAGACACGGUCCAGACUCCUACGGGAGGCAGCAGUGGGGAAUAUUGGACAAUGGGCGAAAGCCUGAUCCAGCCAUGCCGCGUGU